UCUUCUACUUACUGAGUUUUUCUUUGGUUUCUCCGGCACUGCCGCCACCACAAUUACCACCAGAAGCUAUACCUUCAUCUACUUCUCCUUCUCGAUGAGAAACAAUGAUUCGAAGUUAACCACACAUCUUCUCAUCUUUUAGUUGAUUUUAGUUGGUCAUGAAAGGAUUUGCUAGGUACAAAUUAGGGGAGGAAAACAUUUCUAGCUAGAUGUCUCAGCAGCUUGGUUUUUCGAGGCAAAUAAGGCUCCAAAGGAAGCUUCUCAAUAAGGAUGUUGAGAAGUCAUUUAGAAGGCAGCUCAGGAAAUGUGAUAGCCAUUUGUAUACGUUUCCGGUUAGUAGCUUUUUUGGUCUUUUUAAACAAUACAUAAAGGGUUAUUAUGGGACUACAUCGCCGAUUUAGGUAUUGGUAGACAAAUUCGGCCUGACCGAUAUAGCGGUGCAAGACGGAAAGUAAGAGAGGACAUGGAUGACACUGAAAAUAUAGUACUGCUCAUUGGAGAUGAUAAUUUAUCACCGAAAGGAUAGUUUACACAUGGAGAAAGACACAGCAGCAUAGUGCGGAAGAUUCCCAAAAUUGCAUUUGAGUGCAGUUUACAUAGUUUGACUGGAUAAUCUGGAUUAUUAAUAUAAUAAAAAAAAGGGAAAAAGCGCUUUCAACUUGGAUGUCACUACAUGAAACUGGAUAGUAUUGUCCAAUUGGCUACCUGUAGGAGUUGUUUAAGAGAAUAUUUUCUCAACAGGAUAUGUAUGUAUGGUGACCUACAGUAUUUUAACUGGAUGAUCUGGAUUAUUAGUAUAAUAAAACAAAAGUGACUCCCUACUACAGUGAGUAGACAGUAUAUUCUAAAUGUGACCUCAGCUGGAGAAUGAGAAUGGUGUAUUCGUCAUAUAUUACUUGCAAAAAAAUCUUAUCAGAUGAACAAAAUAACUUCGUGGAAAUGCUCAUUCUCCUGAAGUCUGGGUAACAAAGAGAAGAUUGUGCAUCUUCGCCGUCUUUUAAGCAGACAAACAAUGUACAUAAACGAGAAUUCUCAACCAGGGACAAUCAGAGGUUGAAUUGGAGCUGAGGUCGUAAGAAGCAUUUGAAAUAUAUCCUCUGGCCAAAUUUCAUGGUGGCAGAGCUCAGUGCGACACUAACAUGAGAUAUUUGAAUCUGCCAACUCCAAUGAAGAUCUAUAAUUGUUAUAGUAUAAUGGGUAACACAAUUGAAGUAUUUGCUAUUGGAAUUUCUGUUUUGGUUAAUAACAAUUUUUAAUUGAUUUUAAAAUCCACAGACAGAUGUUGUUUGGUUGCAUUUAGUCUCUAGCUAUUUUACUUUGCUUUCCCAGCUAUUUUUUGUUUGUAAAAGCAGAAAACCGCAGUUCUACAAAGUAAUGGCCUUCAUUUGAGAUAUUCUGUUGUGCACCUAAUUUGGCAUCUUUUUUUACAUGGCUUUCAUUGGUACAAUCUGAAAUUUUACACCUUUGAGGCAGAAAUUACAAUCUAAGUUGAACAUUCAUUCAAACUGGAGGUUCAAAUCACUGGGGUAACAUCUGAUUUUUUCUUCUUUGCUCUCUUGCCACCCAUGUAAGUAGAUCUCUUUACAUGAGUGGGAAAAAAUAGAUUUACCAAUUCGAUUUUACUUCUUCUUUGGUUUUUCUGAAACUAAAGAUGUGAAUGUUAAAUGCUUUAGUAGUUUUUGUUCAAUUGAAUUGAUGGGUAAAUUUAUUUUUUCGGGGUAUAAAUGUGUCGAAAUGGAUAGUAUGCAUGUUGCUAUAUUCCUUUGAAUAAUGUGAUUGCUGUUGAUAUCAUAUGCAGUCUAGCAUAUCACAGUUUUAUCACUAUGUGAUAAGAUUGUCGGUACUAAAGCUACAUUAGUGGAGGGAGUCAUGACCCUUAGGUUUUGGUGGCUUCUCUACUUAACUAUGAACAUCUUGGGAAAGAGGUUUAUUAGCGAGUCGCUCUUAACUCAGUUUCAUCCUUUACUCUGAUUGUUUCUUAGUUAUAUACAGGGGUCAUACAUCUAACCUCCCUCUCUUACAUUUUUGUGUUAUAUACCCUUGCAUCUCAUUAUUUUUCAGGCGGAAUCCAAUAUAGCUGUGGAAUACUGAGUACUGAGCAUGAAGAUUCGUGAUUUUCUUAAAUUUAUUAUUAAUAAUAAUGCAAUCUUGAAACACUGUGGUAGUAGUUAUUCUUAUGUAAGAAGAGCUUUACCUUUUAUGACCUCGAGUAGCUGAUAAUUGCAGCUCAUAUCCUUGCACGUUUUGCAUUAUUGAUUUGGUUCCCCUUAAUUAGAAUACGUAAGAAACUAUAUGACUCUCAUCUGAAAUUUGCCAUGCGAGAGGCCCAACAGUAGACCUCCAGGAUCAUAUGGUGGAAAAUCAAGUGUUGCUGAAAAGUCGCAGUGAUCCAGAAGCAUGUAUUUUAGUCCAGAUUGAGCUCGUGUUAGAGGCAGGGUCUCCGGCUUUCAAUGCAGUUUCUGCUACGUUGAAGAGCUCUAAUGUAGAAGUCUCUUUAUUCCACUUCCAACACUUAGAAAGAUCUAUCUGAAGUCUGUUACCCCUGGAUAUAGCAACGUUCACAGCUUCAACUGACACCAGCAAGUGCUCCAUCUAGAAUUCUUAAACCUAAACGAGUUGAUACCAUUUCAGUUUUAUUUGUGUAAUCAAUAUAAAUUGUUUACUCUUCUGACUUUUCUUUCUGAUGCCAUGUUACAAAUGCAGCUACACUCCAAGCACGUUAGAGAGAAAUUCAGACAAGAACCCUCAAAAGAAAGUUAGAGAGAAUCAGAAGAUGAACGGCUCAGGCUUCACAGGCCUGAUUCGCAGAUAUAUAUGCUCAGGCUUCCGCUUCAUAAUAUCACUGAGAUAGUCAUUCAAGUGCUACCCCUGCAAAAAAAAUGGUAAUGAAGACCCCCCGCAAAAUCACAAACUGAUCUGUAAGACCUAAGGCGAACAACUUUCCUCCCAUCACAUCAACAUAAAGUGAUUUUUCACGGUCGAGGAGGUACAAUAAACCGUAAACGGGUGCAAAAUACUGGGAGGAGUUGUAGGAAGCAGCUACCUACAAUAGCUGUGAGCGCGAACAGAUUUAUUGGUUUGUUGGUCUUUGCAUCUCAAUAUAUCCAGGGGCCAGUGAUAAAUGCCAGAAAGAGAGAAGAAAGAUAAUUGAUGGGGUUGAUUUCCAACAUGUUCCCCUUAGUGAAUACAAGCAGAACAUGCAGUCAAUAGUCUCCUUCAUUAAGAUAAGAAAGCUUAAAAUGGGAAAUGUUUCGUGACAAGGGGGUAAUGGGACCAUGGAUGCCGAGGAAGCGUGAUAUUGGGGAUUCUAUGACUUUGACUAAUGUCCAUCAGGAUCUAUCAUAGGUGCAUUCAAGGAUGAGAAACGGGUGUUGCGUUAGCAUGUUGAAGUCUGUUGUCCAGUCUGAAGAGUUCCUUACAAACUCUAAAAGUUGUGUAAAAAAGUGGAUGCUGCAUUUCUCAGCUUAGCUUGAUAUAGCUAUAAUGCCCCGCAUCUCCCGUUUGACUACAUAAAUCAUUUGAAGAACCCAAGGGAAAUACGUGAAGAGGCCGAGAAUGCAUAUGAAGCAGGGUUAUAGACUUAAGAUCAUGAUUUAGAGACAAACGAUAUAGACUUUAAGAUCAUGCAUGAUGUUAGGGUUAUAUGUGCGUACGAAGCAGGGUGUCAGGUAUACUCUCUUCUGGCUAUGCCUUCAUGAGCAAACAAUUGGAAUUGUAUUUGCUGUCUUAGCUCAAAUGGCAGAGCAUAUGGUGUUUACCAUGUAGUUGUGGGUUCGACUCCCACAGAUAGCAUAGAUGUAUGAGUAAGCCAAAACGGUACAUGCAUUCUGAUACUCGUACAAAGAUAUAACGCGACAUAGGCAUACAUAUAAAAAACUUUU